rnacentral:lncRNA from 10 species
GUGAGUCAGCCUCCCCUGCACCUGCUGUGAGGAUGGGCCUUCAGGGCAGACCCGUCUUGAGCGAUUGUAGGUGCUGGCUACAAACCACUCUCCAGGAGUUGCUGAGGCAGCUGCAGGAACAGAGAGCAGCUCCCCAGAAGGGGAGACCCGAGAGGGAGGCAGAGGGCUAUGAGUGAGCUGGUCCAUGGCUGGCUGGAAGUGGAAGGCAUGAGGGAGACUGGUAGGGCAUGCUCAGAUCACCCUGGGUUUUGUUCCUAAGCUGUUCUGGAGGAGAGCUGAUAUGAUGAGAGGCUGAAGGAAAACUGCUCACUGUGCUCACUGCUUGUCUCCUGGAAUCUGGAACUGACCCCUCAGGGGAGGGUGACUGGAGGGCCUCCUCCAGCCUGCUGAGAACACAGACAGGACAUUGUCAAUAUCUACUGGACUAAAGAAAUUCUCUACUAAUCAGAAAAGGAAUUGGUCUGUAUUGAAGCUGGAAAGAAAAUCAGAGGAGCCAAUGCUGUCAGAGUGCAUCCAAGGACCAUUUAAAGAUGUCCUGGCCGGAGGUCUGGGCUGUCAGGUCCUGCCAGCAGAGACAGGAUCUCACUGCUGGUCUUGAACUCCUGGAUGCAAGUAAUCUUCCCAACUUGGCCUCCCAAAGUGCUGGGAUUAUAGCCAUGAGCCACCGCACCUGGCCAGAAAUAUCUUUAAAGCAGGAAGAAGGAAAUGAUGCAUUACCUAUAAGAAGAAAUGAUUACCUAUAGAAGAAAAUGAUUCAAAUGCAACUGAUUUCUCAUUGUCUGCACAUAAGAAACCAGCAAAAUGUAUUUCAAGUGCUGAAUAUAAAGAAAUGCCAAGCUAGAAUUCCAUCAUCAAUAAAAAUAUCCUUCAAGAACGAAGGGGAUAAGCCAGGCACAAAAAUACAACUACUGCAUAUUCUCACUUAUAUGUGGAAUCUAAAAUAAUAGGAAUAGAGAGCAGAAUGAUAGUUACCAGAGUCUGGGGUUUGGGAAUAUGGGAAGAUAUUGGUUAAAACAUACAAUGGUUCAGUUAGGAGGAAUAAAUAGUAAGUAUUUGAGGUGAUGAAUAUAUUAAUUUGCUUAACUCAAUCAUUCCAUAUUGUAUACAUACAUCAUAGCAUCACUUUGUACUUCAUAAAUAUAUACAAUUAUCAUUUGUCAAUAUUCAAUUAAAAACAGAAUGAACAGAAUGAAGAGGACAUGGAGGCAUUUUCAGAUGAAGAGAAACUAACAGGAUUUUUCAGCAGACUUACUCUAAAUGAAUGGCUACAGGAAAUACUAUAAAAAUAAAGGAAAUGAUAAAAGAAGAAACUUUGUAACAUCAAGAAAGAAGGAAGAACCACCAGUAAACAAAAAUAUGGGUAAAUAAAAUAAAAUUUUUUUUAACUUCUUUAGUUUUCUCUAUUAUCUUUGAUGGUUGAAACAAAAAUUGUAACACUAUCUGAUGUGGUUCUAAACGUAUGCACAGGAAAUACUCAAGAUAACUAUAUCAUAAGUCGGGGAGGGUAAAAGAACAUAAAGGAAAGUAAGGUUUCUGUACUUUACUCAAACUGGUAAAUGAAAAACUGGCAGGCUGUGAUAAAUUACAUGCAUUUAAUGCGAUACCUAGAGCAACCACUAAAAAAAAAAAAAAGCUAUGCAAAGAGAUACAUUCAAAUGCUAUGGAAAAAUAAAAAUGAAAUUUAAAAAAUGUUCAAGAAAGCCACAGGGAGGUAAGAAAAACCAAACAGAAAAAUGGAAAGCAAAGAGGAUAAACAGAAAACAAAAAAGAAAAUGGCAGAAUUAAGCUCUAACACAUAAUUAAUUACAUUAACUAUAAAUGGUCUAGAUAUACAAAAUAAAAGAGAUUGGCAGGGUUGUUUAACAAACAUGACUAAAUUAUAUUCUAUCUGAAGGAAACUAACUUCAAAUAGAAUUAUAAAUGUAUGAUAAAGGAUAUAUUAUGCAAAUAUUAACCAAAGAAAACAAGAGUAACUUUAUUAAUGGUAGAUAAAGUAUACUUCAGAACAAAGACAAUUACCAGAGAUAGAGAUAUUAUAUAAUGACAAAAGGGUCAAUCUAUUAAGAAUAGCAAUUUUAAAUGUGUAUGCAUCGAACAAAAAAGCUGCAAAGCAUGUGAAGCAAAAACUGAUAUAAUUGAAGGGAGAAAUUUUAAAAAGUCUACAAGUAUAGUUAGACACAUCAACCCCUCUCUUGACAAAUAAUAGAACAACUAGACAGAAAAUUAGCAAGAAUAUAGAAGAACUCAACACUACCUUCAACCAACAGGAUCUAGUCAAUACUUACAGAAUAUCCAAACCAACAAUAGUAGAAUAUAUUUUGUUUCCAAGUGCUCACAGAACAUAUGCAAGAUAGACCAUAUCCUCAGCUACACAACAAACCUCAACACAUUCAAAAAAUUGAAAGCAUACAAAAUGUAUUCUCCUAUAGCAAUGGAAUCACACUAGAAAUCAAUAACAGAAAGACAAUAGGAAAAUCUCUAAACACUUGGCAACAAAAAGACAUACUCCAAAAUAAUUCGUGGUUCAAAGAGGGAGUCUCAUGGGAAAUUAAAAAAAAGUUUCAGCUGAAUGAAAGUGAAAACAACAUAUCAAAAUUUGUGGGAUACAGCUAAAGUAAUGCUGGGAGGGCAAUUUAUAGCACAAAAUGCAUAUGUUACAAAAGAGGAAAGGUCUCAAGUCAAUAAUUUAAGCUCUUACCUUCAGAAUCUAGAAAAAGAAGAGCAAAAUAAACCUAAAGCAAGCAGGAGGAAAGAAAUAAUAAAGAAAACAGCUGAAAUCAAUGAAACUGAAAACAGAAAAACAAAUGAGAAAAUCAUUGAAACGAAGAGCUGGUUCUUUGAAAUGAGAAACAAAGUUGACAAACUUCUAGCAUGACUGACAAAGUAAAAAGAAGAUAGCAAUAUUUGGAAUGGAAGAUAUCACUGCAUAUCCUGCAGACAUCAAAAGGAUAUUUAGGGCAUUUUACACCACAGAUUUGACAACACAGACAAAAUAGACCAAUUUUCUUUAAAAAAAAAACACCAGUGACUUCAACUUACCCAAUAUGAAAUGGAUAAUUUGAAUAGUAGUAUAAUUAUUAAAAAAUUAAAUUGAUAACUGAAAAAACCCACAAAACAAAUUUCCAGGCCCAAAUGGUUUCACUGGAGAAUUUUAUAAAAUACUUAAUGAAUUAAGACCAAUUCUUUUGGGAGGCUGAGGUGGGC